AGGACGAACGCUGGCGGCGUGCUUAACACAUGCAAGUCGAGCGGAAAGGCCCUUCGGGGUACUCGAGCGGCGAACGGGUGAGUAACACGUGAGUAGCCUGCCCUGGACUUUGGGAUAACCCUCGGAAACGGGGGCUAAUACCGGAUAUGACUUCUGCCGGCAUCGGUGGUUGUGGAAAGUUUUUCGGUCUGGGAUGGGCUCGCGGCCUAUCAGCUUGUUGGUGGGUGAUGGCCUACCAAGGCGACGACGGGUA
rnacentral:rRNA from 1 species